GCCGUCCGCGGCUGGACUAUUUUAUUACCCUUGUCUUUUGCGCACUUGUUGUUUCCUGGGCGGGUUCGCUCGCCACCAGGACCACCAAAUAAACCUUUUUAAUGCAGUUGCAAUCAGCGUCAGUACAACAAAUGUUAAUCAUUUACAACUUUCAACAACGGAUCUCUUGGUUCUGGCAUCGAUGAAGAACGCAGCGAAAUGCGAUACGUAGUGUGAAUUGCAGAAUUCAGUGAAUCAUCGAAUCUUUGAACGCACAUUGCGCCCUUUGGUAUUCCAAAGGGCAUGCCUGUUCGAGCGUCAUUUGUACCCUCAAGCUUUGCUUGGUGUUGGGCGUUUUUUUUUGUCUUUGGCUCGCCCAAAGACUCGCCUUAAAACGAUUGGCAGCCGGCCUACUGGUUUCGCAGCGCAGCACAUUUUUGCGCUUGCAAUCAGCAAAAGAGGACGGCAAUCCAUCAAGAACUCCUUCUCACGUUUGACCUCGGAUCAGGUAGGGAUACCCGCUGAACUUAAGCAUAUCAAUAA
rnacentral:rRNA from 1 species